GUUUACUGUGAUCUGUAGUUUUACUUUCUCAGAUGUUUUAUAACGGCAUGUUAUUUUGUGAGAGAUAAAAAGCAGCUUUGUUAUCAGGAAAGGAACUCCAGUCCGGACCAAGCAGAACCAGAACCUCCACAGAUCAAAGAGGAACUGUGCAGCAAUCAGGAAGGAAAGGAGCUGCUCCUGAACCUGCAGACUGAUGUGAAGGAGAAGAUUAAGUCUGAAUGUGAAGAGACAUUGAAAGUAUGUGGGAACAUCAUGUCUAACUUCAAGGCAGAGUUGGAUCAGGACUGCAGUCUGCAGAACACCAUCAGGAUUCCUGAAACACAGCUUCAAAGAAAAGGACAGACUGAAUUGCAUCUCCUUAGCCAAAAGAACUCCAGUCUGGACCAAGCAGAACCAGAACCUCCACUGAUCAAAGAGGAACCAAAAGAACUGUGCAUUAAUCAGGAGGGAGAGCAGCUGGUCCUGAAUCAGGAGACUAAAGUGGAGAUGGAGAUCAAAUCUGAUUUGUUGGAUCAAGAGCAUCACCUGGGGAUUAUCAUCAAGGUUCCUGUAGUAAAAUUGAAAAGAAUAGAUCUCUCAGAGCAACAAAUCUUUGAGGAGAGUGAAGCUGAGCAGCUUCUCUGGAAGCAGGAGAGGAGUUCCAGUCUGGAAGAAGAGGAACCAGAGUUUUCAGAGAUCAAAGAGGAGCAGGAGGAGGUCUACAUUGGAGAAGAAGGAGAACAGCUUGAACUGAAGCAGGAGACAGAUGCUUUUAUGGUCACUGAGGAUGAUCAGGAAAGGAUGGACUCUGAACCAGAAUCAAAUGAGAGUCAAUUUCUGGAAGAAAACACUGAUCAGAAACUGUGA
rnacentral:lncRNA from 1 species